ensembl:lncRNA
ACUUUCUGCACUGUUUAUUGAGAGAAAGAUAACUUUAUACACGGGGAACGGGUGCACUUAAAUUAUAUGACAGAUGACCAUAAAAACGAGGGGUCUUGUCCACAACACAACUUCACUUUAUAUUAUUAUAGUUACUGAUAUUUUAAAAAUGAUGUAAACAAAAAUAUGGAUGUUAUGCCAGAACAAAAGGCAAUAAAAUCCAGAAGACAGAAACAGCACAUACAUAAGUUACCACAGGAGCUAUUACAAAUAGCUCAACACAGAGUUACGUAGUAAUAGCCAAACCCCACAUUUUGGAUCGUUCUGUCCAGCAUGAGCAGAAAUAAGGGAAAAUGACACUGAUCUGACCCAGGAGCAGAAGAACAUGUCGUGCAGAAGCCUUCCACACCCCACAUUCAAUACUUUGCAUUUGCAACCUACGCAUUUUCCCUCCUUUUACUGUUCCUUAAAGAAGACAGAUUUUUUUUUUCCCCCUUAAAUCUUCUAAGGGAGGCUACUAACUCUUCACGAUAAAAUCCUGAUAGGCGACUAAAAUCAGAACCGGGGUCUCCGGUGGUGAAAGCCUAACGUAAUAGCUUGGUGGACGGCCCAUGCCACACAGAAAUGUUUCUAUUAUAAUUCAUCCAACUGGCUUCCCACUUCCCAUUUGGAAAUCAGGUGGCCAAAUAAAAUAAAAUACCAAAACCCUUUAUAUGGUAAAGGAAAAGAAAAUCCUUGUGUUUGUGUAACUUUUUAACCUGCAACAGGCUAAGGUCACUGACGUUACAGAUUCAAAUCUAAAUAACCGGUUCAAAUUUCUCUACCCAUUGGCCUUGGUGACAUCAUGACAUUCCCCUGAGUUUGGUUAAUGAAAAGCAAGCAAGCAAACAAAAAAAGUGAUCUGGAAAACAGCAUACGACCGAGUUGCGUGAAGGUGGAAGGUCGACAUGCGUGCGGAAUAUGCGGGCUCCAAGCAUGCCUGUAUGAAGAGCAGCAAGUACAGAAGAAGCGAAGUGACCCAUGUUCAGGCGAAGGGUCCUGCAAGCUUCAAGUGGGUCAGAUAGUCUAGACUAGAAGCACUAGGCAGUACUGUAAGGCACUCCUACGGGGAAAAGAAACGAACGCGACAGCCGACAUGAGAAGGAGCCGCAGGCCCCAGUGGUCCACCAGCCAGUGUACCAGCCAUGAGGCUUGAAUCUGGUCCAGGGCUCAGGCCUGGGGCAAGGAAAAUCGGGGAUGGGGAGAAAGGCUGGUCUGCAGCUCUAGGGCCUAAGAGGGGCUCUUCCCUGUGCUAAGAGCUGCUGAGGCAGCCAGGUCUUCUACCUGGGUAACAACGGACUCCAGAUCUUUCUAGCAAGAUGGCUUCUCUUUCCACAGGGAGGAACCAAACAAAGCAAAAGAGCAACUAUCUCUUCCCUUGAGGGUAAUGGCACCUUCCAUCACUUUGGAGGCCUCUGUAGGAGGCAAGUGCCCUGUCACAUGGUUGCUUGGAACCCGUUUAAAAUAAAACCCCUGACAACCGUGGGUAUGCCUAGGAGGGUGUUCCGUACUUUUUUGGACUUUAUCUAAAAUCGGUGACAAUGACUCGAGGUACUGGACUUCACUGUCAAAACACUGUCCCACAUGACAGAAAUCAUAUUUGUCUGUUCAAAGAAACCGAGCAGGGCUUGCUCACCCAUCACUGGGUCCAGGUACUUAGGUAGGGCAGUUGGUUCUACUGGACUGACGGUACGGGGUACACAACACCCGGAGCUGUGCUGUUAAUGCCUGGUUCUUAGCAAGGACCAAGGAAAGGAAAACGGCGCUUCCAAUGACUCAAUUCAUGCCAAGGAGAGUGUGUUCACUUCCUUCAGUUUUGCCUCCAAUUCUCUUUUGCAUUAUCUUGGAGGGAAAAAAAGUAGUGGGACAGAAAACUCAAGACAUCAGGGGAGGAGUUCCCUGGUGGCCUAGUGGUUAAGGACUUGGCGUCGUCCAUGCUGUGGCUCAGGUUAUUGCUGUGGCUCAGGUUCCAUCCCUGGCCCAGGGGCCAAAACAAAACAAAACACAAUGAAAGAAGGGGGGAAAUUGCAUGCAGCUCUCUUUCCUGGGAGAAGUAAAAAAAUAAAAUCACCUUUGUGUUGACUCCAAGCAGUAUUAAAUCAGGAGGUGAAGAUUUACUUCACAACGCAGUUAUUUCAAUAAAGUGCAGCCGAUCAGUGGAGGUGAAGAAUUCUGCCCAAACACAGGAACAGCAGCAUUGGCUUAACCCUAAAUCAGGAGCAGAGUGUAUCUCGGCUUCAUCAGAUCUCUUUCCAGAAAGUGUCCAGUGCAACAUCACGCAAUUCCUACCCUGAUAGAAUAAUUUACGUAUGGCCUUUUCUGGCCAAUGGGUAGAGAACAAAGCCACAGGUUUGGAAGCCAAGCCUUUCUGAGAAGGCCUGGGAAGAAACGAUUCAGUGUCAAUGUGUAGUAUGUACAGAUGCUGAGACAAAAACAGGCUAGACCCCUUGCAGGGGAUUCCACUGCAGCUUAGAGAGGGCUGCCUAUAGCAUCUAGAGCCAUGUAAAGAGCUCAGCCCUCACUGAGGCCUGCAGGAAAUCACGGCACAGUCCUUUGGGAGGAGUUGGCUGAAAAGCACAAAUCCCAAGUCCCAGCCAUAGCCUCUUUUCAGUGGGGGGUCUAGUCUAAAAGAAUCAAAAAGCGAUGACCUUCUCAGCUAAUCAAAUGUUCAAGCUCCCAGGAGUUCCAGUUGUGGCUCAGUGGUAAUGAACCCAGCUUGUAUCCAUGAGGAUGCAGGUUCGAUCCCUGGCCUUGCUCAGUGGGUUAAGGAUCCGGCCUUGUAGGGAGCUGAGGUGCAGGUCUCAGAUGCAGCUCGGGUCCCGUGUUGCUGUGGCUGUGCUGCAGGCUGGCAGCUACAGCUCCGAUUGAACCCCCAGCCUGGAGAACCUCCAUAUGCUGCAGGUGCCACCCUAAAAAAAACAGUAACAAACAAAACCCCCAAAUAUUCAAGCUCCUACAAAG